rnacentral:rRNA from 1 species
AGAACGAACGCUGGCGGCAUGCCUAAUACAUGCAAGUCGAACGAGAUCUUCGGGUCUAGUGGCGCACGGGUGCGUAACGCGUGGGAAUCUACCCUUGGGUUCGGAAUAACAGUUGGAAACGACUGCUAAUACCGGAUGAUGACGAAAGUCCAAAGAUUUAUCGCCCAGGGAUGAGCCCGCGUAGGAUUAGCUAGUUGGUGAGGUAAAGGCUCACCAAGGCUACGAU